CACAAGGUCUUGGUCUUAAACCCCCUAUUAUUUACAUCCCUAAUUAUACAUGCAAGACUCACCUCUACAGUGAAACAGCCCACCAAUCAACCAAUCGGAGCAGGUAUCAGGCACCCUAAGCCCACGACACCAAGCACAAUAGCCACACCCCCACGGGCCAGCAGCAGUAGUUAAUAUUAGGCCAUAAGCGCAAGCUUGACCUAGCAAGGGACCACCCAGGGCCGGUUAACCACCGUGCCAGCGACCGCGGUUACACGAUAGGCCCAAAAUAAUAUAAACGGCGUAAAACACGACUAAAUUAUAGUCUAACUAUUAGAGCUAAAACUUAAGCCAGGCUGUAAAAAGCCAUAAGCCACAAUAAAGCUCUAACAACAAACAAAUUCCACUCGUGAAAGCCAGGACACAAACUAAGAUUAGAUACCUUACUAUGCCUAGCCGUAACACAACAAUUAAAUUACCAAUUGUUCGCCAAAUAACUACGAGUAAAGACUUAAAAUUUAAAAGACUUGACGGUACCUCAUAACAACCUAGAGGAGCCUGUCAAAUAACCGAUACUCCACGAUUAACCCAACCUCCCCUAGCCUUAACAGUCUAUAUACCGCCGUCGCCAGCCUACCUUGUGAAAGAAACAAAGUGAGCUAAACAGCCACCACACUAACACGACAGGUCGAGGUGUAACUUAUGGGAAGGAUCAUGAUGGGCUACAUUUUCUAAAACAGAAAACACGAAUAAACUAUGAAAUAAGAAACUGAAGGCGGAUUUAGCAGUAAACUAAGAACAAAAUACCUAGUCGAAAUCAAUGCAAUGAGGUGCGUACACACCGCCCGUCAUCCCUGUCAACCAAACAACAAAAUUCAUAAACAAAAAUAUUACCAAAAACAGGGCAAGUCGUAACACGGUAAGCGUACUGGAAAGUGCGCUUAGAAA
rnacentral:ncRNA from 1 species